rnacentral:rRNA from 1 species
GACGGAGGAUGCAAGCGUUAUCCGGAAUGAUUGGGCGUAAAGCGUCCGCAGGUGGCAGUUCAAGUCUGCUGUCAAAGACCGGGGCUUAACUUCGGAAAGGCAGUGGAAACUGAACAGCUAGAGUAUGGUAGGGGCAGAGGGAAUUCCUGGUGUAGCGGUGAAAUGCGUAGAGAUCAGGAAGAACACCCGUGGCGAAGGCGGCUCUCUGGGACGGUACUGACGCUGAGACGCGAAAGCGUGGGGAGCGAACAGGAUUAGAAC